rnacentral:snRNA from 1 species
AUGCUUACCUGGCAGGGAGAUACCAUGAUCAUGAAGGUGCUUUCCCAGGGCGAGGCUUAUCCAUUGCACUCCGGAUGUGCUGACCCCUGCGAUUUCCCGAAAUGUGCAUGAUUUGUGGUAGUGGGGGACUGCGUUCACGCUCUCCCCUG